rnacentral:rRNA from 1 species
UACGUAUGGGGCAAGCGUUAUCCGGAUUCAUUGGGCGUAAAGCGCGCGUAGGCGGCUUGUUAAGUCAGAUGUGAAAACCGGGGGCUUAACCCGCGGCCUGCAUCUGAAACUGGCAGGCUUGAGUCUGGUAGAGGAAAGUGGAAUUCCCAGUGUAGCGGUGAAAUGCGCAGAUAUUGGGAGGAACACCAGUGGCGAAGGCGGCUUUCUGGGCCACGACUGACGCUGAGGCGCGAAAGCUAGGGGAGCGAACAGG